GCUGAAUCAGUGACAAGAACCCCUACUCCGACACCAGGACGCUUGGGAGGGCAGCAGCUUUCAGUCAUCUCGUCAAAUCUUAUCACGGUUGCAUUGGGAAAGCAGUGCAUGAAAAGGCUCUGAUUUUCACCGUGUAAUGGGGUGACUCAUGGCUAAUCGGGUGUGAGAAUUCAAUGCCCAGAUAAAGCCCCGCCUCCACGCCAACAGGGCCUCAAAACUUGGUUUUGAGAAAACAUGACUCCAACGAAUGUGGGAAGAAAUGGCAUCCAACUUUAAUGUUUUAAUGGUGCAUUACCGCCAACUACUGUACUGGAAUGUGGGUGGAGUGUGAGACAGGACAGACCUACAUCCACCAACCAACCCUGUAACCUUCAAGUAAAUAAACAAUACUCCAAAAAUGUACAUCUAUUGCCAUACCCCUAAGAAAGUUGUUCACACUAAUCUCCUGAAUCCCAUAUUCUCUUAAACAGUCUUUCAUACUCAAUCUCUCACUCUUAGUGUCCACACUGCACCAACACAUGUUCCACAGUCUCUUCAACUUCACAAUACU